rnacentral:rRNA from 1 species
GAUGAACGCUGGCGGCGUGCCUAAUACAUGCAAGUCGAACGGUAAGGCCUCUUCGGAGGUACACGAGUAGCGGACGGCUGAGUAACGCGUAGGAAUGUACCCCAAAGUGAGGAAUAACCUCGAGAAAUCGAGGCUAAUACCGCAUGUGCUCUAAGGAGUAAAGCUUUAUGCGCUUUGGGAACAGCCUGCGUAAGAUUAGCUUGUUGGUGAGGUAAUGGCUCACCAAGGCGACGAUCUUUAGCUGGUCUGAGAGGAUGAUCAGCCAGACUGGGACUGAGACACGGCCCAGACUCCUACGGGAGGCAGCAGUAGGGAAUUUUCCACAAUGGACGAAAGUCUGAUGGAGCAACGCCGCGUGCAGGAUGAAUGCCCUUGGGUUGUAAACUGCUUUUAUAUGUGAAGAUAAUGACGGUAGCAUAUGAAUAAGGAUCGGCUAACUCCGUGCCAGCCGCCGCGGUAA